rnacentral:rRNA from 1 species
CAAUAGCGUAUAUUAAAGUUGUUGCAGUUAAAAAGCUCGUAGUCGGAUUUCGGGGCGGGCCGAGCGGUCUGCCGAUGGGUAUGCACUGUUCGGCGCGUCCUUCUUUCCGGAGACUAGUUCUACUCUUAACUGAGCGGGACUGGGAGACGGAUCGUUUACUUUGAAAAAAUCAGAGUGUUUCAAGCAGGCAGCUCGCUCUUGCAUGGAUUAGCAUGGGAUAAUGAAAUAGGACUCUGGUGCUAUUUUGUUGGUUUCGAACACCGGAGUAAUGAUUAACAGGGACAGUCAGGGGCACUCGUAUUCCGUCGAGAGAGGUGAAAUUCUCAGACCAAUGGAAGACGAACCACUGCGAAAGCAUUUGCCAGGGAUGUUUNCACUGA